GAAUGAAUUUAACUGAAAUAAAAAAAAUUAAAAAAAAUAUACUGCAUACAAGUAUUGCAUAAAUGAAAGAACAACUUAAAUUUAAUAAAUAAUCAGACAGAUUUAUUGACAUUAUAUUUACUAAAUGUACAUACCUACUGCUCCCGCUACACAUUAGAUAAAUAAAUAUAUAUGUACAUAUUAUAUAUAUCAACUAGUUUUACAAUUUAAAGUCUUAACUAACAACGAAUGAAUACACAACGCCGUCUUAAAGGAUCUAAUAUAUUGUCAACAAUUCAACAGCAAGGUGCCAAUGAUAAACCAAAAACAAUUAGGUAACAAGGUGAAGAAGUUAAGUUGCACAGAAGCCAACACAACAGAAAAGACGCACACGACGAAUCACAACAACCACAUACACCUACCAGUAAAGGGAUGUACAAUGCCGAGCUUACGCACAGAUGAUUAAAUAAGAACAAAUGUGUACGCAUCUACUCGGUGCGCAGUGCGGAUGAUCUAACGGUGAUAUAAGCUUGAAUUCUCAACAACAACAAAAACAAUAAAAAAAGUUAAAAGCGCUGUAAGGUACGUGCAGCAGCACAAUAACCGUUAUUGGAAACUAUUGUCAAAGAGUUAAGGUGCACGGAGCUAUAAUAACGGCAACAAGGUUUAAUUUGCAAAUACAAGCAAAAGUACAUACACAUACACAAACCCACACUUACACACUUACACAGCAACUGAACAAUACUGGUACUGCAGCGCUGGUGAACUGAAAGUGUUACGAAAAUAUUGCAGCAAAAACAUUGGAAAUCGCUAGAGGACUAACAACAACAGAAACAACAUAACAUCAAUAUACCAACAACAUACAAAACAACAAAAGCAUAAUAGAGCAACUACAGGUGACAUCAACUGGCGUUCAACGUAGCGCACCGAGUUUCAGCCAGAGCAAAUGGAGCAACAGCAGCAACAGCAGCAACAACACCAACACAAGAAACGCAAUGUUGUGGACUCUCGCCAACUUAAUUGACGAACAACAUAAUUCAACGAAUUACAACAAAAACCAAAACCAAAACCAAGCGAAAACAAAAAAACAACAACAACAACAACCAGCACAGAUGCCCCAAAAUAGCAGCAUAACGGAAUAUCAUAGAUAAAAA